rnacentral:rRNA from 1 species
GUGAGGAAUAUUGCACAAUGGGCGGAGCCUGAUCCAGCCAUGCCGCGUGGACGACGAAGGCCUUCGGGUCGUAAAGUCCUUUUCUGAGAGAAGAAGAUCCCGUGGAGGAAAUGCUGCGGGAGUGACGGUACCUCAGGAAUAAGCCACAGGCAAACUCCGUGCCAGCAGCCGCGGUAAUACNGGAGGUGGCUAGCGUUGUUCGGAAUGACUGGGCGUAAAGGGGGCGCAGGCGGCCUGGCAAGUCUGAAGUGUAAGCCCGGGGCUUAACCUCGGGACUGCUUUGGAUACUGCUAGGCUUGAGUACGGAAGAGGAAGGCGGAAUUCCAGGUGUAGCGGUGAAAUGCGUAGAUAUCUGGAGGAACACCCGUGGCGAAAGCGNCCUUCUGGUNCGAUACUGACGCUGAGGCCCGAAAGCGUGNNGAGCANACAGGAUUNGAUACCCUUGGNAGUCCACUGCNGUNAACGUUGC